rnacentral:rRNA from 1 species
GAUGAACGCUGGCGGCGUGCUUAACACAUGCAAGUCGAACGGUGAACGAGGGAGCUUGCUCCCUCCGGAUCAGUGGCGAACGGGUGAGUAACACGUGAGCAAUCUGCCCUGGACUCUGGGAUAAGCGUUGGAAACGACGUCUAAUACCGGAUACGAGGCGUGGGGGCAUCCCCAACGCCUGGAAAGAACUUCGGUCCAGGAUGAGCUCGCGGCCUAUCAGGUAGUUGGUGAGGUAACGGCUCACCAAGCCGACGACGGGUAGCCGGCCUGAGAGGGUGACCGGCCACACUGGGACUGAGACACUGCCCAGACUCCUACGGGAGGCAGCAGUGGGGAAUAUUGCACAAUGGGCGCAAGCCUGAUGCAGCAACGCCGCGUGAGGGACGACGGCCUUCGGGUUGUAAACCUCUUUUAGCAGGGAAGAAGCGAAAGUGACGGUACCUGCAGAAAAAGCACCGGCUAACUACGUGCCAGCCGCCGCCGUAAGAC